UACGUAGGGAGCGAGCGUUGUCCGGAAUCAUUGGGCGUAAAGCGCGCGUAGGUGGCUUCGUAAGUCCGUUGUGAAAGUCAAAGGCUCAACCUUUGAAAGCCGAUGGAUACUGCGGAGCUAGAGUACGGAAGAGGCGAGUGGAAUUCCUGGUGUAGCGGUGGAAUGCGCAGAUAUCAGGAGGAACACCAAUAGCGAAGGCAGCUCGCUGGGACGUUACUGACACUGAGGCGCGAAAGCGUGGGGAGCGAACAGG
rnacentral:rRNA from 1 species